UCCCUCAUAGCUCAGUUGGUAAAGAAUCUGCCUACAAUGCAGGAGACCCAGGUUUGAUUCCUGGGUUGGGAA
rnacentral:tRNA from 1 species